ACCGAGGAAAGUGGCGGACGGGUGAGUAAUAUGUAGAGAAUCUGCCCUAGAGAGGGGGACAACAGCUGGAAACGGUUGCUAAUACCCCAUAUGAGCGUACCUGAAAUGGUAUUCUUGAAAACUCCGGUGCUCUAGGAUGAGUCUGCAUCUGAUUAGCUAGUUGGGGGUGUAAUGGACCACCAAGGCGACGAUCAGUAGCUGGUUUGAGAGGAUGAUCAGCCACAAUGGGACUGAGACACGGCCCAUACUCCUACGGGAGGCAGCAGUAGGGAAUUUUGCGCAAUGGGCGAAAGCCUGACGCAGCAACGCCGCGUGAUUGAUAAAGCCCUUCGGGGUGUAAAGAUCUGUCAGUGGGGACGAAACUUGACGGUACCCACAGAGGAAGCACCGGCUAACUCCGUGCCAGCAGCCGCGGUAAUACGGAGGGUGCAAGCGUUGUCCGGAAUCAUUGGGCGUAAAGAGUUCGUAGGUGGUUUGUUAAGUUUGGUGUUAAAUGCAGAGGCUCAACUUCUGUUCGGCAUCGGAUACUGGCAGACUAGAAUGCGGUAGAGGUAAAGGGAAUUCCUGGUGUAGCGGUGAAAUGCGUAGAUAUCAGGAGGAACAUCGGUGGCGUAAGCGCUUUACUGGGCCGUAAUUGACACUGAGGAACGAAAGCCAGGGUAGCAAAUGGGAUUAGAUACCCCAGUAGUCCUGGCCGUAAACGAUGGAUACUAGGUGUUGCGGGUAUCGACCCCUGCAGUGCCGUAGCAAACGCGUUAAGUAUCCCGCCUGGGGAGUACGCACGCAAGUGUGAAACUCAA
rnacentral:rRNA from 1 species